CCAACUUGUGCUUGGAGCCAUCCCUGAAAAAAAAUCCAAUUUGGAAUAUGGAGAAUGUGGAUUUUCCUGGUGCCAUGUUGUUCUUUGAUCCCUUUGCCAAACUUCCCUUCAGAUUAACUCAAGGGUUACACACUUGAUCAUAAUGGUGAUGCAAAAUAUUGCUGGUGACCACUAACUCCCCAAACGGCAGCACUCAUUGACUCCUGAAGACUGGUCAAGGCAUCUCACACAUGGCUGAUAUACCAAAAUGGAACAACUCCUAGCAACGAAGUUCUGUCCCACAUCUCCUGCGGUGCAGCAUGUACUUCCUGGGCAGAUGAAGAAAUAACAGUGUGUGCAAAAUCUGUUAGCAAUUAGCACAGCCAACUGGACUUUCUCAGGAGGAUACACAGCAUCCCCUUCCAAGAACAAGGACUCUGCUCUUCUACACCAAAAAGAACCAUCUGAUGUGCUCAAUAUUUAAUAAAUGAACUGAAGCUCUAAUGAGAGAAUGCUGUGAGCUCCAGCGAUAUAUCCCUGCCACCUUCUAUCUGUGUGCAAAUCCACCAGAAGUCAGGUAAUCAUGCUGACUCUGCUACAUUACACUUUGGAGGAAACUUGGAACAGAUCACGUAGUUCCUUCAAGUUCUUUCUCUUGGUUUUGUUCCACAUUGGUUCUCUCCUCUCCUGCCCUAACCAGUGCUCUCCACUUUCACAUCUUCUUUUCUUCAUCAAAAUCCAGGGCAUGAAGAAGAGUACUACUCAGCCAAAAGAAGGAUAAACUUGAGAGAUUUAUAGCUAAAUGGAUGCACCUUGAGGCUUUACUCUUAAGUGAAAUAAGUUGGACACACAUGUGUACAUAUCAGAUUAUCUCUCAAGGGUAAGUAAGGACCAAAAUGUAUAAUAGAUAAUGUGAAAAAAGGAAGAAAUUAUUCAAAAGGAAAGGGGAACUGGGAAGCGGGGGGGAGGGGGAAAAGAAGCAAGGGAAAAGAAAAAAAAAGAAAAGAAAGAGAAAAUGGAAACAAAGCUUUGUAAAUAAGGAGGGGAGGGAAUUGGGAGAAAAAGAGCAAUCAAGAUAUACCAUGUACUGGCGCAUUGAGGCGAUACUCUUAAGUGAAAUAAAUAGGAC
rnacentral:lncRNA from 1 species